rnacentral:rRNA from 1 species
AUUGAACGCUGGCGGCAGGCCUAACACAUGCAAGUCGAGCGAGUGGCGGACGGGUGAGUAAUGUAUGGGAAUCUGCUCUAUCGUGGGGGAUAACUACUGGAAACGGAGGCUAAUACCGCAUACUAUUCGAUGAGCCAAUGUGGGAUUAGCUAGUUGGUGGGGUAAAGGCUAACCAAGGCGACGAUCCCUAGCUGGUCUGAGAGGAUGAUCAGCAACACUGGAACUGAGACACGGUCCAGACUCCUACGGGAGGCAGCAGUGGGGAAUAUUGCACAAUGGGCGCAAGCCUGAUGCAGCCAUGCCGCGUGUAUGAAGAAGGCCUUCGGGUUGUAAAGUACUUUUAGUGGGAAAGCGGUACCCAAAGAAGAAGCACCGGCUAACUCCGUGCCAGCAGCCGCGGUAAUUC